UACGUAGGGCGCAAGCGUUGUCCGGAAUUAUUGGGCGUAAAGAGCUCGUAGGCGGCCAGUUGCGUCCGCUGUGAAAUCCCGGGGCUUAACCCCGGGCGUGCAGUGGAUACGGGCUGGCUAGAGGCAGGCAGGGGAGAACGGAAUUCCCGGUGUAGCGGUGAAAUGCGCAGAUAUCGGGAGGAACACCGGUGGCGAAGGCGGUUCUCUGGGCCUUACCUGACACUGAGGAGCGAAAGCGUGGGGAGCGAACAGG
rnacentral:rRNA from 1 species